UACGAAGGAGGCGAGCGUUGUCCGGAAUCAUUGGGCGUAAAGAGCGUGUAGGCGGCCCGAUAAGUCCGCUGUGAAAGUCCAGGGCUCAACCCUGGAAUGCCGGUGGAUACUGUCGGGCUCGAGUUCGGAAGAGGUGAGUGGAAUUCCGUGGUGUAGUGGUGAAAUGCGUAGAUAUCGGGAGGAACACCAGUGGCGAAGGCGGCUCACUGGCCCGAUACUGACGCUGAGGCACGAAAGCGUGGGGAUCAAACAGG
rnacentral:rRNA from 1 species